rnacentral:rRNA from 1 species
CUGGCGGCAUGCCUUACACAUGCAAGUCGAACGGCAGCACGGGGGCAACCCUGGUGGCGAGUGGCGAACGGGUGAGUAAUACAUCGGAACGUGUCCUGUAGUGGGGGAUAGCCCGGCGAAAGCCGGAUUAAUACCGCAUACGCUCUACGGAGGAAAGGGGGGGAUCGCAAGACCUCCCGCUACAGGGGCGGCCGAUGGCAGAUUAGCUAGUUGGUGGGGUAAAGGCCUACCAAGGCGACGAUCUGUAGCUGGUCUGAGAGGACGACCAGCCACACUGGGACUGAGACACGGCCCAGACUCCUACGGGAGGCAGCAGUGGGGAAUUUUGGACAAUGGGCGAAAGCCUGAUCCAGCAAUGCCGCGUGUGUGAAGAAGGCCUUCGGGUUGUAAAGCACUUUUGUCCGGAAAGAAAACCUUUGGGUUAAUACCCUGGGGGGAUGACGGUACCGGAAGAAUAAGCACCGGCUAACUACGUGCCAGCAGCCGCGGUAAUACGUAGGGUGCAAGCGUU